UUAGAGUUUGAUCCUGGCUCAGGAUGAACGCUAGCGGCAGGCCUAACACAUGCAAGUCGAGGGGUAACGAUGGCUUCGGCCAGGCGACGACCGGCGGACGGGUGAGUAUCGCGUUUGUAACCUGCCUCUAACCGGAGAAUAGCCCGAAGAAAUUCGGAUUAAUGCUCCAUAUUACUAUAAGAUGGCAUCAUUUUAUAGUGAAAGCCCCGGCGGUUAGAGAUGGGCAUGCGUGACAUUAGUUUGUUGGUGAGGUAACGGCUCACCAAGACCACGAUGUCUAGGGGGUCUGAGAGGAUGGUCCCCCACACUGGUACUGAGACACGGACCAGACUCCUACGGGAGGCAGCAGUGAGGAAUAUUGGUCAAUGGGCGGAAGCCUGAACCAGCCAUGCCGCGUGAAGGAUGACAGCGCUACGCGUUGUAAACUUCUUUUGUACGGGAAGAGACACUUCUACUUGUAGAAGCUUGACGGUACCGUACGAAUAAGCAUCGGCUAACUCCGUGCCAGCAGCCGCGGUAAUACUGAGGAUGCAAGCGUUAUCCGGAUUUAUUGGGUUUAAAGGGUACGUAAGCGGCAAAUUACUCACUGAGAAAUCCUGCAGCU
rnacentral:rRNA from 1 species